rnacentral:rRNA from 1 species
CAGUAGCCACGGGAAUACAGAGGGUGCGAGCGUUAAUCGGAUUUACUGGGCGUAAAGCGUGCGUAGGCGGCUUCUUAAGUCGGAUGUGAAAUCCCUGAGCUUAACUUAGGAAUUGCAUUCGAUACUGGGAAGCUAGAGUAUGGGAGAGGAUGGUAGAAUUCCAGGUGUAGCGGUGAAAUGCGUAGAGAUCUGGAGGAAUACCGAUGGCGAAGGCAGCCAUCUGGCCUAAUACUGACGCUGAGGUACGAAAGCAUGGGGAGCAAACAGGAUUAGAUACCCCUGUAGUCCCUGUUUCUUAUAC